rnacentral:rRNA from 1 species
CGGGACGGGUGAGUAACGCGUGGAUAACCUGCCCCAUACCGGGGAGUAACAGCCGGAAACGGCUGCUAAUACCGCAUAAGCGCACGAGGCUGCAUGGCCUUGUGUGAAAAACUCCGGUGGUAUGGGAUGGAUCCGCGUCUGAUUAGCUAGUUGGUGAGAUAAAAGCCCACCAAGGCGACGAUCAGUAGCCGACCUGAGAGGGUGGCCGGCCACAUUGGGACUGAGACACGGCCCAGACUCCUACGGAAGGCAGCAG